UCCCGCUAAGGAAAUGAAAUAUCCUGUAUGUAACACUCCACACUAAGUCCAAAAGAUAAACUCUGGUUAAUAUAGGUGGGUUAUAUAUAGAUCAAUACCAGCCUUUGUAAGAAGGAUAUAAGUCUUAUUUGGCUGAAGGCUUAAUAUCAGACAACAGAGAGUGAGGGAGGACAAGAAUGCCAAUGUGAGUGAAGCCAGCCUGAUGAGGAAUAGAGCCAGUGAGGGAGACAAGAAUAUUCUCACUCUUCCAUGAACUUGACGCAUCCCACCUACAAGCUGCAUUUGCGCUUCAAGAAGGACAUUCACGAACUAAUUUAAACACAUCCAGAGAAGAAGGAUGACGAUGGGCUAGGAGAUCAUCUCCUAUGAGGAUCAUUUGAGAGAACUGAGGAGACUCCUCUCUACCAGGAGGUAUUUGCUCAAUGGAUGAACUUAUAAAUGAAUUACAAAGCAGGCAGCUUGUUUUCAACACUUCAGUGAGAUUUCUAAAUGGACCAGUCAUUUAAUAUAAGAAAAUGUCUAAAGUCCUGGACAACGGCCGACCCACUGAAUUUAUCACAUCGUAAAAAGCAAACUUGACUGUUACUUCAUGGAGACGUGGUGGAGAGCCCAGCAGAGGCUCAGCCUCUGCGUCUGGUCCCAUCUCCCAAGCCCUGCAGUGAGGGAGGGAGGCCAGCCUUUGUGUAGAGGGAGGCCCUGUGCGUGAAUAUGGACACAGGAGCUCAGGAAACCUGUGUCCUCCCCGGUGUCGUCAACAAUCCCGCUGUGUGACCUUGGGUAAGCAUUUUGACUUCUUUUAGAUUUUGUUUUAUCAGGUUAAAUCGAAAAUAAUGCUAUUUACCAUGCAGGAGAUUUGUAAAGAUUUAAUAAUGCAAUAUUUAAAAUGAAUACUGAAAUUUAGGUCUGGGUUUUCUGAACUGGAGAUUUGAUCCAACACACCAUUACUUUGUUGUUGUUUCUGUUGUUAGUGUGUAAUGCAGAAUUAAGGAUUA